rnacentral:rRNA from 1 species
CGAAAGCUCCCUUCGGCGAGCAAGUAGAGUGGCGCACGGGUGAAUAACACGUAGGUAAUCUACCUUUGGAUGGGGAAUAACAACCGGAAACGGUUGCUAAUACCGCAUAAUGCAGCGGCACCGAAUGGUGACAGUUGUUAAAGCGGGGGAUCGCAAGACCUCGCGUCUGAAGAGGAGCCUGCGGCGGAUUAGCUAGUUGGUAAGGUAACGGCUUACCAAGGCGAUGAUCCGUAGCCGGCCUGAGAGGGCGGUCGGUCACACUGACACUGACAUACGGGUCAGACUCCUACGGGAGGCAGCAGUCGGGAAUUUUGGGCACUGGGCGAAAGCCUGAUCCAGCAACGCCGCGUGAAGGAUGAAAUCCCUCGGGAUGUAAACUUCGCAAGAACAGGAAGAAUACGUCGGUGUAAAUACCACCGACGAUGACGGUACUGUUUGUAAGCUCCGGCUAACUCCGUGCC